rnacentral:rRNA from 1 species
CCUACGGGAUGCUGCAGUAGGGAAUAUUGCUCCAUGGGGGAAACCCUGAAGCAGCAACGCCGCGUGGAGGAUGAAGGUUUUCGGAUUGUAAACUCCUUUUGUUAUAGAAGAUAAUGACGGUAUCUACCGAAUAAACACCGGCUAACUCCGUGCCAGCAGCCGCGGUAAUACGGAGGGUGCAAGCGUUACUCGGAAUCACUGGGCGUAAAGAGCGCGUAGGCGGGAUAGCAAGUCAGAUGUGAAAUCCUAUGGCUUAACCAUAGAACUGCAUUUGAAACUGUUAUUCUAGAGUAUGGGAGAGGUAGGUGGAAUUCUUGGUGUAGGGGUAAAAUCCGUAGAGAUCAAGAGGAAUACUCAUUGCGAAGGCGACCUACUAGAACAUAACUGACGCUGAUGCGCGAAAGCGUGGGGAGCAAACAGGAUUAGAUACCCCAGUAGUC